GGCGGCCCUGUGCCGCCCUCACGGAGCUCCCCGCGGGUCGGGAAGCUCGGGGGCUGAGAUCGGGUUACAGGGCGCCGCCGCUUCGAUUUCGCACGCACACCCCGACGCGGGCACCUUCUUAAACGGCUGACAGUUUGCCAGCCGAGACGACUUGAAAGGCGGAACGCCCCAACUCCAACCCGGGCCCCCGACAGCUCCUUCCCGGGACCCGCCCGCAGGUGCUCGCCCGGGUACUCACCCGAGGCCAUGGCUCGGCUCCGCGCGCCGCCGCCGCCGCCGCCGCAGCUCCCAGCGUCCGGCCAGAGGCUGCAAGCCGGUCCGUCAGCCGCUCGGUGUGAGCCCAGCACUUGAAAGGCUGAGACCGAGGACUGCCACAAGUUUGAAGCUACGGUACAAGCCUGCCAUGAGAUCGUAUGAGCCAAUGCUGUGAUCGUCCUGAGACCGCGGGAAGAGUCCCAAGAAGCAGCUAGCGUGAGAGUGACAGAGGGUGCAGGUGACAGAGCUGGGAGAGAGGUUCCUUUUCCUGUCUACAGAAC